rnacentral:misc_RNA from 1 species
GAUGAAGAACGUAGCGAAAUGCGAUAAGUAAUGCGAAUUGCAGAAUUUCCGUGAAUCAUCGAAUCUUUGAACGCACAUUGCGCCCUCUGGUAUUCCGGGGGGCAUGCCUGUCCGAGCGUCAUUGCAAACCCUCAAGCUCGGCUUGUGUGAUGGGUCCCGCGUCCGCCUCCCGGGGCGGACGGGCCCGAAACGCAGUGGCGGCGUCGCGGUAAUCCGAUCAGCCAGAGCGUAUGGGGACAUCUCGUCACACGCUCCAGGUGCGGACCGGCGCCCGCCCGAGACCAAAUCUCACAUCAAGGUUUGACCUCGGAUCAGGUAGGGAUACCCGCUGAACUUAAGCAUAUCAAUAAGCGGAGGA